rnacentral:ribozyme from 1 species
AUUUCGUCAUAUGCCUACACCUGGAGCAAUGCGUCAUAUGCCUACACCCGGAGCAAUGUUCGUCACAUAGAAAGAUCUCUUUGGAAAGUUGCUUUCGACAAGAUCAACAGCGCAAGAAAUAUCAGCAACCA